AGAGUUUGAUCCUGGCUCAGAUUGAACGCUGGCGGCAUGCCUUACACAUGCAAGUCGAACGGGCCUUGGGGCUUGCUCCAAAGUUAGUGGCGAACGGGUGAGUAAUAUAUCGGAACGUACCCUUGAGUGGGGGAUAACAUAGCGAAAGUUGUGCUAAUACCGCAUACGAUCUAAGGAUGAAAGUGGGGGACCGCAAGGCC
rnacentral:rRNA from 1 species